AAAUAGGGCUAAUGUCACUCGACUAUAGAUGAUUUUGGAAGGUUUGCACUAGGGCUAAUGUCACUCGACUAUAGCUGACUUUGGAAGGUUUGCAAAUAGGGCUAAUGUCACACGACUACAGCUGACUUUGGAAGGUUUGCAAAUAGGGCUAAUGUCACACGACUACAGCUGACUUUGGAAGGUUUGCACUAGGGCUAAUGUCACUCGACUAUAGCUGACUUUGGAAGGUUUGCACUAGGGCUAAUGUCACACGACUACAGCUGACUUUGGAAGGUUUGCAAAUAGGGCUAAUGUCACUCGACUAUAGCUGAUUUUGGAAGGUUUGCAAAUAGGGCUAAUGUCACACGACUACAGCUGAUUUUGGAAGGUUUGCACUAGGGCUAAUGUCACACGACUACAGCUGACUUUGGAAGGUUUGCACUAGGGCUAAUGUCACAC